rnacentral:lncRNA from 1 species
AAAGGGGGGGUUUGAAUUGUUUGAAAAAUAAGCGCUUUUCAAAAAUAAAAAUCACACAAUGAUUUUAUACUGGUUCGCUUAUAACACAAAGCUACUCCAGUCCACCCGGCCAAGGUGAUUUCGCCUUCAACAAGGACUUAAUCCACUAAUCUUGAAAGAUUACAAACAACACCUAAGAGAGAAGAAAAUCUCUUAGUCUUCCCAAGUCUACAGACUACACAGAGUCACUUGAGGAAAU